UACAGAGAGUGCAAGCGUUAAUCGGAAUUACUGGGCGUAAAGCGCACGUAGGUGGAUAUUUAAGUUGGAUGUGAAACCCCUGGGCUUAACCUAGGAAUUGCAUUCAAUACUGGGUGUCUAGAGUAUAGUAGAGGGAAGUGGAAUUUCUGGUGUAGCGGUGAAAUGCGUAGAUAUCAGAAGGAACAUCAGUGGCGAAAGCGGCUUCCUGGACUAAUACUGACACUUAGGUGCGAAAGCGUGGGGAGCAAACAGG
rnacentral:misc_RNA from 1 species